UCCCUUCUAGAAGCUUCCAGUUAUGGAAACAGCCCAAGACCCAUCAGUAGAUGAGUGGAUAAAAAAAAUGUGGCACAUUUACCCAAUGGAAUAAUUUUACACAAUGGAAAAAUUUUCUGGCAUCGUUUCUCAAAUAUCAUCUGUUCAGCUUCAUUUUUAAGGGCUAGACCCAGUGAUUUGGCUGGCCUGAUAUGGCCCACUUGGCCGGAAGCAGGAGGUGCCACGGGUGUACCUGUUGACGUGCAGCAACCACUGCACCUGAAGUGACUUCGUCGCUCCUGGACUCUGAUGCUUGAGGACUCUUUAUGCUGAUGAAAAUGCAACCAUCCUGGACCUUGAAAGAAGUUGGCUUUGGUUUCCUCUGAAUCCUAAAAGAUACAAUGGGAUAUUAAAAAUGAUUGGAACAGAACCUUCAUUGGAGUGAUUUUUAAUUCAUAUCACAGAUCAAGCAUUCUGGCAGGAGCAACCGAAAAUGUACAGAGAAAUGAGUUUCCCAGCCAGUGUGGAGCAGAGGGCAAGGUG